rnacentral:rRNA from 1 species
AUGGCCCGAGCGCGACCAUCCACCACCCUCUGGUCGCUGGUGAACACCGUUGGCGCCGGCAUCCUCAGCGUCGACUUCCCCGUACGCUCCACCGGCCUCGCCAUUGCAUGCGGCGGCCCAGCCAUGCUCCCCACCUUCGAGUCCAGGCCAGGUGAUCUCCUGCUUGUGGACCGCCGUCGCCUCGGCUGGUUCCACGGCAACGUCGUCGCCUUCCGGACACGGGAGAUGAGCAGGGUGUUCUCAAGCGGCAGCUCCAGGUCUUCGGCGGCGCAUGAUCAACAAGGUGCUUUUCAUACUCAGCUGUCUAUAGAUGUCAAGGUGAGGGUCAUUUCCAGCGUGCUGACCACCAAGUCGUGGCGAACACAUGCAACGUUGGUCAUACACAACAGGAGUCUGGACGGCCACGGCAAAGAGCCUAUUUUCAGUGAAGGAAAGACAUACCACAGAGGGGUUGUCAGCAGGCUGAUUGCGCUGCCCGGCGACCUUGUCCGGCUCCGGGGGACGACGGAGUUCCUGGAGGUCCCCGAGGGCCACUGCUGGGUGGAAGGCGACAACCCCAGCCAAAGCAAGGACUCGAGGACUUAUGGCCCUGUUCCACUUGAGCUGCUGGAGGGGACGGUCACACACAUAAUUUGGCCGCCUCACAGGAUGGCUGCAGUCCCCGGCAGGGUCCCGGAAGAAAGGGUUAGAUUGAUCAUCGACCCCGCUGGCUCUGCAAAGGAAAGGACGGGAAUAGCUCAUUCCUGUGGUAGUGUGGCUCCACCCUCGAGUGGUACUGAAGGAGGAGGCCCUUCCUUAGGAUCCCACAAAGAAGGGUUAUGCCGAAGUGAUUGUAAUUUCAUUUGGGACAACAUACACGACUUGGGCGACGCUGGGCAUCGGGAUCAGGAGCAAAGGAGGCCAGGGCUCCUGGAUGAAGCAGGGGCGGCUUGGCGAGCGAAGCAGGCAGCAGCUGUUCGAGUAGGGGAGCAGCAGCAAGCUCGCCGGGAUUUGGGCGCCGACGAGGAGACGCGGGAGGUGGUAGGGUCUUGGACAGCGACGCAGGACCUGACAGCAUCUUGGCACGGGCGCCAGGCCAGGGCCUCAGAGUUGGCCGGAGAGGACGGCUCGGGCAACGGGACGACCUACCUACGCCGCCAGCCCUCCUCUAUCUCCUGUCCAUCUCCCUCUCCUAUCCAUCUUCGUCUCCUCUCCUCCCUCCUCCACACGCCCAGUGCCCGCGUACUUGCCUCCCGCACCAGAGGAGCGAGAGUUGCAGAGGAGAGGGGAGACUAUGGUGGAUGGCUCAUCUACUCCCUAAUCCAUCUGCUCGGCGCGGGGGACUACUCAACGGCCAUCGCCUUCCAGGAACGCAUCCGGCUCCCCGACAAGACCAUAGAGUACUACGACGGGCAGGGACGCCCGUGGCCGCGGCGCGUGGUCGGGCGCGUGGCCCUGGUGGGCGACGCGGCGGCGGGGUACGUGACCCGGUGCUCCGGCGAGGGCAUCUACUUCGCGGCCAAGUCCGGGCAGCUGUGCGGGCAAGCGAUGGCCAAGGAGUGGCUGCUGACGGUCGUGGUGACGGAGGGCGGGUUCAGGCGCGGGUACCUGCGGCGGUGGGACGACGAGUUCCUGCUGACGUUCCAGUUCCUGGACCUGCGGCAACGCAUGUUCUACGGCGACAACGCCGGGCGCGAGGCGCUGGUGGAUAUGUGCGCCGACGAGCACAUGCAGCGACGAACGUUCGACUGCUACCUGCCCAAGCGGAUGGCGCCCGGCGAGCCGUGGGCCAACCUCUAG